AUGGCCUCCUCUAGACUCAUUCCAACAGGUCCACACAUUUCCUGUGUCAGGUGCCCCAGUCCUGCACAGAUCCCUGGGCUUUGCAAGCCAGGGCUUCUUGGUAGUGACACAGCAAAAAGGAACUCCUCAGUAUGGGAAAGAGGUGGCUGCAGAAGUGAUGUGCUUUUGCAAGGACCCAGUGUGGAAAAACUUCAAGAGAAUUAAACCACUCUUGAAGGAUUCAUAAACUGGGCACUAGGAGAGAGAGUACAGGCUGUGGUGGGCUGUGGACAGACCUGGUCAUGGUGUCAGUGAUGGACAGUGGGGUUCUGUUGAGACAUGGGCACAAGCUUUGCUUUAGCCAGGAUGAGCCCCAGUUAAAAGUAGAUCUAAGUAAGAGCUGAUCCUACAGAAAGAGCUUUUGUUGUUAUUAUUUACUUUUUAGUUGGAAAGAAAAGGCAGGUCUGGAGUUGAGCAGUAAAACAGGAGACAUCCCUGCAGAGGUGGGCAGUGAGUUUGGGUAUGGAGGCGAGUUUGGGUUUUUGGGUUGUUCGGUGGGUGGUUUUCCCUUGGAAAGGGGAUGUAGGAGAAAAGAGACCAAGAGCUGUUCAAGGCUGCUGAAAACUGCUUAGCAAAUGUGCUGGGGGCUGGGGGUGAAGGAGGCUGAGUCCAGAGAACAAGGGCUCGAGAGGAGCGUGGUCAACUGUGCUAAAAGCAAAUGAAGAUAAAAGGAAGUGGCUGACUGACAUCUUGGUAAGAAGAAGAGAUGAGAGACCUCCACCAGAGAAGUUUCUGUAAGAUGUGAGGGGCAGAAACUUCCAGAGGAACACCAGGAUAUUACAAACAGCAGUGAGCUAUGGGAGGGACCAGAGUCUGGAAGGACAAGAGGGAAAUCAAGGACAUUUCGGUACAUCUUAAAGAAAGGAGACGCUAAAGGAUGUUAGUGAAGGGGAAAUUGCAGAAUUCAAGGCUAAAUGAGAAAGAGUUAAGGAUAAUUAGAAUUAAAAGGGAUGAAAAAAGGACGAAAGACAGUGAAAUGUCAUGGAGAUGCCACUGGAAGGGAAAACAGACCAGUGCCCUACUGCAGAGGUGAGCAAAACCAGUCAGCUCAUAUUUCCUAGGAGGACAGGGGAGCCAGGAGAAGAGAGCCAGGAGUUGCAUCAGCCAGAGUUGGAGAUACACUUGUUCAGAUUCAGCUGGAUCUUACAGCUGCUUAGUUGGGAAGGUGAUGGUACAGAGGUAGAGAGAAUGAAUUGCUGCUGUGUUAACAGCUUCGGGGGGGAAAAAGUGAAAUUCAGUCAGACUCUGGGAGAACAGUCUAGACUGGAACUGAAAUGAAGCCUGAAAGUAAAUGAGCAAUUUUCAAAUUGAGAAAAGGACAGGGAGGAGAGGUCUGCAAACAGAGGAGCAGGGGAAAACUAAUUGAAUUAUCUGGAUGAGCAGUGAGCAGAGGGGGGAUUUGCACAGCAGGGAGGUGAGGAAGAGCAGUGGUUGGUGGAGAAUAUUGCAGAUUAACCAUUUGAGAGUGACUGAGGGAGUCAAACGAGCUGUGGAUGAAGUGAAGGAGCAAGGAUAUGGAGAUGCCAAGGUGAGAGACUGGUUGGGUUGUCACACCAGAACCUGACACCACCAACAGUGGGUGGAGGAAUCUGGGAGGAGAAGAAAGAGCUUUGGGUGAAUCCUGGGGGAGGAUGAGGAGAGAUUGGGCAAGAGAAAGGGCUUGAAAGCAGCAGGAACAGGAGGGAUCCCCAAUCAUUUGCACCAUGUCUGCUCCUGAUCCAGAAAGCUCAGAGAAAGGAAGAGGCUUGGAAGAGGAAGAGAGCACAGGAGACAUCCAGGAUGUUCAGGAGAGGCUGGUGGGGAGAAAUUAGAGGAUGUUGGCAGCCUAGUUCAGAAUGAAGUGGAGGUGGCAGAGGCAAAUAAAGCUGUUAACAGGCUUAGUAAUGUUACUCCACAGGUUGCAAAGGGCACAGGAGUCCUGUGGUAACUGCAAAGCGAAGGAGCAGCGCCUGAGAAGCACCUUCUCCAGGUUCCUUCCCCACUCGGUGCUGUGGUUUCACUUUCCGUGGCUCUGUUUGCUGCUGGCAGAGGUUCAGCUGGAACGGGAGAGGAGCAGGAAGAGCCUUUCCUCGGCGCAGUCUGACAGCACCUCCCUGCCCAGCGCAGAUUCCGUGCAAGGCAGAGCCUCUUCCGUGUCUGCUGAGCGACGAGCAGGGGCAGGAAAAACGCUUGUCAUGGCUUAUCUGUCCAGCAAUGAACGUGUCUGGUGCUGGAAAAUUAAUGUCUGUUACCUGUACUGCACCUACUGAUGGAACAGUUCCAGCCUGGAAUGGGCAAGAGGACCAUUUUUAAAACACUGUAGAAAAAAACAGUGCAUCAAGGAUGAACAAAGAUUUCAUUGCUUCUGGGUCUGUCUCAAAAUAAAGACAGAAAAGAAUAAAGAAAUGUGGUGGUUUGACAA